CCCCCCCCCCCCCCCCCCCCCCCGCGCGCCGCCCCUCCCGCCCCCCGCGCCGCGCCUCGCACCCCGCGCGCCGCUCCGGCACCGGCCCCGCUGGAAUUCCCCGCAGACAAUUGACUCGGCGACUCCUGGCAACUUGGGGGAGAGGGGAGGGAAGAAAAAGGAAAGCCCCACGCAUGAAGGCGCUGCCGGCCAGGCCGUGCCUCGCCUCGCCUCGCCGCUUCCCAUCCCUCUUCCCGGGACUGGGCCGGAAUCUCGGCAGCACCCGCUGCGCUGAGCACACGGGUACCCUGCACUGGGUUCCGUGGGAGCCACCCACGUGCGGGCUGCUGGGCUGUCCAAGUACACACAGAAUUGCCCCGUGACGGUGGAAAGCUUUACGGAGGUUCCUCCUGGCCCACUGUCCUGUUACCGUGGAUCUGUGGGUUAGCAAUGAGGUUCACAUUACUCUUCCAAGCUUAUGCCAAGGAAUUAUCUAUCUAUAUGUCCAGCCAAGGCAUGGGAAGUACGUGAGCUGGUCUGCAUUAAUAAAGGGCAUUGACGUGCACUGUGCUGCAAAGGAAAGCAAAUCCUCACGGGCCUGGGUGGGUUUUCGGCGGGAAGCCCAGGAAUUCAUAGAGCUGAACAGGAAGCACGUAGUCCAUAGUGGCAGUGGGCAGAAAAGCUGGCAAGGACAAAGAGGACACUGGCCUCUGAAACAACCCAGUGGCUGUUUCUGGUCUCCUGAGCGGUGUUCCACUGCAUUUCCAUGGAGGUACCAAAAGCGCUGCUGGCCGUGUCAGUGUCACACAUCGAGCACUCCCAUCCUAUGUAUGGGUGCAUAAAUCAUUCGACCGCUCCGAAGCAAUGGUGAGGUCAUCAGACGUCUUUUCCAACCUUAAUGACCCCGAGGCUGGCUCGGUUACAGCGUGGUGGCGAUAAGGAUUCUGUGAUUCCAAGCUGCGGAGAGAAUGUGACUGAGCAUGGCAGCGCCAGCACAGCUGCUCCAAGGAUGUGUUCCCGCUGCAUUCCCGCUGCCUCCGGCUGUCCCGGGGCACGUUGCGAGCAGCCACGCUGCUGUGCUCAGCCCCACGGCCACUGUCUCCUGCCCAGCGCUGAGGUGUCAGGUUCUACACCUCUGCACAAAUUGAAGAGUCACAUGAGACCUGAGUGGAUAAACCAAUUUUCUGCCAUUUGCAUGGAUUGGAGGAACAGUAGAGGGGAUGGUUUUCAAAGUAUCUGGCUCCCAGGAGUUACCUUUACAAAAGCCCUUGCCUCUGCAAUGCCUGAUGAUGAGUGUGGUCUAGAAGGCUAUGGAAGAGCAGAGUACCUUCAUAGGCGUUUACUAUUUCUCUGCUCCCCCCUGGACACAAUGACACUGGGAAAAGACAUGUAG
rnacentral:lncRNA from 1 species